rnacentral:lncRNA from 1 species
UUUCUAUCUCUUUCUCUGCAAUGUUGCUAUUGUUAUUUUUUUUUCUCCCCCUAAAUUCUAUACCGUCACUCGCAUAAUAAUCAGAUCAUCGAUCAUCGGAGAUGUCGAAGUACGAUGAACCAGCGGCAGGAAUCCCCUACAUUCCGGCUUAUAACCAGGAUCCGUUGCCUCAGCAAAUCCACCACCAGCAAUAUUACGUGGCUGAAAACCCUUCAUAAACCAGCGGUAGGAAUCCCCUACAUUCCGGCUUAUAACCAGGAUCCGAUGCCUCAGCAAAUCCACCACUAGCAAUAUUACGUGGCUGAAAACCCUUAUCAAGCAGAUACGCCUGCUCCUUUUAAUUGCCUUCACUGUGGAAAUACUGGUCUCACCCUUGUCAAGUAAUUCUUCUCUUCCUUCUUUUUUUACUUUUUGUUGGAUAAUUGCAACUUUGGCCCUCAUCUGCUGGUAAAUUUUUAUAUUGAAUCCUCGACUAAACAGUUAAGGUUUGAAUAAUUAGAACCUGUACUUUCACAUUGGACUGAAUUUGCACGCUUCGAUUAAUGGAAGGAUAAAUAUGAUUAACUUAUAUCACAAGGACUUAGACAAGAGGGGUUGUUCUGAUGGUAAGAAACCCCCACUUCCAAGUGAGAGGUUGUGAGUUCGAGUCUCCCCAAGAGCAAGG